GAUGAAGAACGUAGCGAAAUGCGAUAAGUAGUGUGAAUUGCAGAAUUCAGUGAAUCAUCGAAUCUUUGAACGCACAUUGUGCCCGCCAGUAUUCUGGCGAGCAUGCCUGUUCGAGCGUCAUUUCAACCAUCAAGCCCCAGGCUUGUGUUGGAGCCCUGCGGCUGCCGCAGCCUCCCAAAACCAGUGGCGGGCUCGCUAUCACACCGAGUGCAGUAGUUUACUCUUCGCUCAGGGCGUGUGGCGGGUGCUAGCCGUGAAACCCCCAACUUCUCAAGGUUGACCUCGGAUCAGGUAGGAAUACCCGCUGAACUUAAGCAUAUCAAUAAGCGGAGGA
rnacentral:misc_RNA from 1 species